AAUAGCCACCGAUGGAGCAAUCGGUGGCACAAUCGGUGUCGUCCAAGCACAGCCGCCGUCAUCCACGGCGAUCACCAUCUCCUUCUCCGGAGCGACCAUCUCAGCUUUCCUAUCGAGAUGAACAACGACAUUCUCGGCAUUCUCGACGUGCCACUCAUCGUUUCCGACGUUCUCCCUCUCCUUCCCAUCUCAAUAGUAUUAGGAAAGGGAAACGACCGUGAACGCCCUCCGUGUCUCUUUCAAACUCGUUGAGUUGAUCUACCCCCAGAGUUUCUCAAUGGC
rnacentral:lncRNA from 1 species